UACGAAGGUGGCAAGCGUUGUUCGGAUUUACUGGGCGUACAGGGAGCGUAGGCGGUUGGAUAAGCCCUCCGUGAAAUCUCCAGGCUUAACCUGGAAAGUGCAGAGGGGACUGUUCAGCUAGAGGAUGGGAGAGGAGCGCGGAAUUCCCGGUGUAGCGGUGAAAUGCGUAGAGAUCGGGAGGAAGGCCGGUGGCGAAGGCGGCGCUCUGGAACAUUUCUGACGCUGAGGCCCGAAAGCGUGGGGAGCAAACAGG
rnacentral:rRNA from 1 species